CAGACUGUACUUUUAGGGAUCAUUUCUAUCAUUUUCUUUUACCAGAGAAAUGGGUUUCUACAAUGUUUGGUCUCAUAAACCAUAAGGAGAAUUUAUGGUGUUCAGUUCUGAUAUUCAAGUUGACAUGAAGGUUGCUUUUAGCAACUAUAGUUCUCUAUUGAUGAGUGUUUGUUCUCUCUUACAUGGAGAGUUGGAGGAAGACAAUGCAAAUG